CAGUAGCCACGGUAAUGCGGAGGGAGCUAGCGUUGUUCGGAAUUACUGGGCGUAAAGCGCACGUAGGCGGCUUUGUAAGUUAGAGGUGAAAGCCUGGGGCUCAACUCCAGAAUUGCCUUUGAGACUGCAUCGCUUGAACACGGGAGAGGUGAGUGGAAUUCCGAGUGUAGAGGUGAAAUUCGUAGAUAUUCGGAAGAACACCAGUGGCGAAGGCGGCUCACUGGACCGUUGUUGACGCUGAGGUGCGAAAGCGUGGGGAGCAAACAGGAUUAGAUACCCCCGUAGUCCCUGUCUCUUAUAC
rnacentral:rRNA from 1 species